AUAAAAUUUGAGUAGAAAAUCAGCUAAAAAAAUUUAAGAUAUCAUAGGUGAGGAGAAUAUAUAGGUGAUUUUGAUAAAUUCUGUGAUGAUAAUAAUAUUAUUCAUGAGGUUACUCUACUUUAUUUUCCCCAAUCUAAUGGUAUAGUUGAAAGGAAAAAUAGAACUCUUAAGGAUAUAAUCAUUUCUAUAUUAAAGUCUUCUAGAUUACUUUUUAACAUGUGGAAAGCUACCUUUCUUACUGCAUGUUAUAUUUUUAACAGUAUUUCUAGUAAGAAAAAUAAUAAGUCCCCUUAAGAAAUGUGGAAGGGUAGAACACCUUCAUAUAAAUAUCUCAAAUUGUGGAAGUGCUUAGCUAAAGCUUCCAUUCCAGCACAUAAGAGAACUAAACUUGGUCUAAAAGCUCUUGAUUGUGUUUUUAGGUUACGCUCUUCACAAUAAUGCCUACAUAUUUUAGUCAUUGACUCUAAAAAUGAUUUGAUCGAAAAGAACAUAAUUUUUGAAACUAGAGAUGCUGAAUUUUUUGAAAACAGAUUUCCUUAUAAAAAAAAAGUCUAGAGGACCAAGUAGUUCUUUUCGUAUUCCUCCUAGUGUUAGAGAGGGGCCUACUAAAUUAGAAGAAGCUGAAAUUAAGAGAAGCAAAAGAAUUAGGACCACUACUUCUUUUGAUGCUUACUUUCUAAACUACUUAAUAGAUGAUAAUCCUAGUACUUUUGAUAAAGCUAUGUUUUUAGCAGAUUAUAUAUUUUGGAAGGAAGCUGUAAAUAGUGAAUAUGAUUCAUUAUGUCUAAUAAUACUUGUGAGUUAGUAAACUUACCUCAAGGACAUAAGAUUAUUGGUUAUAGAUGGUUGUUUAAAAAAAAAGAAAAAAAAACAUUUCGAUUGAUAAGUAUAAAGCAAGCCUUAUAUAGCUAAAAGCUAUAAACAAAAUGGAGUUGACUUCGUUGAUACUUACUCACCUGUUACUAGGAUUAUCUCUACUAGGAUGUUAAUUGCCAUUGUUUCGUAAUAUGAUCUCAUUAUAUAUCAGAUGGAUAUCAAAACUACAUUUUUAAAUGGAGAAUUAGAAGGGGAGAUUAUAAGGACCAACAUGAGAGAUUUGUUGUUGAAGGCCUUGAUGAUAAAGUAUGUAAACUUAAAAAAUC
rnacentral:lncRNA from 1 species